AGACUCAUCUAAUCAGAUUUUUCUGAUACAAGGUGGAUUUGGAGGUUUGCCUUGUUUGGCUCCUCUUAAAAGCAUGAUGCAGACGUAAUAAGUUCCGUCGUACGCAUCCAACUACAUAUUUUGUACU
rnacentral:misc_RNA from 1 species